CCGGGAAUUACAAAAAAGGAGGGGAAAAACUGCUUUUUGGGGAUUGAAGAUAAUGGGAAAUCAUGAUUUUUUUUUCAAAUAAAGAAUUUUCUGGGCUUGUGGUAAUUUUGGUUAGGGAAGAAAAAGCGAGAGAAAAGGGGUUGACGGAAUUGUGUGAAGGUUGAAGAUAAGGGAAUUCAAGUGAAGAAGUAUGGAAAAGAAAGGAAAAAGGAGAAAAAUUAUUGAUGAAAAAUGGUUGUUAUUGGAAGAGAAAAACAUGGAGAUUACUGUUUGUUUCUCGAGAAUUUUGGUUUACCUGAAACAAAAAUCUCUCUCCCUCUCUCGGACUCUGCACCUCUGCAGGACGAACAGUGGAAGACAUUUUCUUUAUUUUUGGGGUCAAAGUGUUAAUUUUUAUAAACUAAAAUGACCCCUGAAGUUUAAAAAAUGACGUAUGUUUAUUCUU